rnacentral:pre_miRNA from 1 species
GAUUUCAGCUUAAAAAGUCAUCAACAACAAAGUUGUAUAACUCAUCAAGACCUAUAACUUUUAUGUUUGUCAUUUCUUCAUCCGACAAAGUUCUAGUAACAUUUUUUCACAAAAUUGACAUAUCUGUGUUAUAGUUUAUAAACCAGAUGAGAGAUAUGUGAAUUUUUUGAAUAAUCUUACCAUCACUUUAUCGUAUGAAGAAAUAACCAAAAUAAAAGUUAUAAAUCUUGAUGAGUUAUACAUCUUUGUUGUUGAUGACUUUUUCAAUUGAAAUA